AGCCUGGUGUAGUGGUUUCAGGUUCAGCUAGGAAUCUGGAGACCAGGGUUCGAAUCCCCGCUGGGUCA